rnacentral:rRNA from 1 species
ACCAGCACGUUAUGGUGGGCACUCUAAGGAGACUGCCGGUGACAAACCGGAGGAAGGUGGGGAGUGACGUCAAGUCAUCAUGGCCCUUACGGCCUGGGCUACACACGUGCUACAAUGGUCGGUACAAAGGGUUGCCAAGCCGCGAGGUGGAGCUAAUCCCAUAAAACCGAUCGUAGUCCGGAUCGCAGUCUGCAACUCGACUGCGUGAAGUCGGAAUCGCUAGUAAUCGUGAAUCAGAAUGUCACGGUGAAUACGUUCCCGGGCCUU